GCGGCAGUAGCUCAAUUGGUAGAGCAUCGCGUUGCCAUCGCGAAGGUUGAGAGUUCGAGUCUCUUCUGCCGCUCCA
rnacentral:tRNA from 1 species